UGAAAAAGGCAAACCGCCCGAAAGGGCGGGACGCAAAACUAUGGGGUCUAAAGCCGCGAGGCCAGGGCAGCCCGGUUGCCA
rnacentral:ncRNA from 1 species